ensembl:lncRNA
CAGCCCUUCACUUCUCAGUGAUUGGGAUUCACUGUGUUGUUGCUGGGUGGAAUAGAGUAAUGCUGUUGCUGCUCCUGCUUCUUCACAGUGAUGUUUCUGUUCCAGUUUUUGCUGACUCAUAUUCAGGAAAACAUGAUGCGCAGACACAAUGCACUGUAACUCUUUUUCUUUCCCCCACUAACCUCGAAAGUUUCUGUAUUUCGUGCAAUAAAUGGCUGAGGAAACAUGUGCAGUAAUAAGAGAUGAAGAGGAGACCCAGAAAAACUCUGAUGAAGACCCAUUUCAUGAUGCUGAAACAGCAUUGCCUGAUUGCUAUGCUGGCCUUAGUGAAGGCAACAGAAGCUCAGAGGUGCCAGAAAGACUGUCUGUCCUCUCUAGCAAGGCUGUGGCCCAAGCAAAAGCACUUGCUGGACCAUCAGCGGUCAUCAGUGGCAGCCAGGCACAGAGCAAGGCAUCUGCCUUGGCCAAGCACCACCUGAUGGCUGUCAGUGCAUCAGCAGGAGACUUGUCCUGCUCUACAACAAUCUGUAAACCCAAGCCCAGGGGCCUUGCCUCACCGUGCUCUGAAAGUGUCUACUGUAGCUGUGACCAGGAUUCAGAAGCAUCAUGUGUCCCUGGGAUGCCUGACGGGGCUGGUAAGCCCCCCAGGGCAGUCGUGGCCCUGUUGGUGAACAACCUCAGGUGCUGCCAUGUGCCAGCUGAUAGCGCACGGCCUGUGGAGAGCUGCACUGAGGGCAACCCUUGCAGUCUGGGCUCAGCCAUCUGGAUGAAGACCACAACAGUAAUGGAGACCCUAGAAAAUAAGAAAAAGGAGGAAAAGGAGAAGUAUCGGCUCCAGCUAGCAAUGUACCGAAGACUCCUGCUGUUGCGUUCGAUCAGGAGCUUGCACAAGCAGCUGGAGCAGCAGCAGGCCAGGUUACAGGAAUGCUAUGGCAUAGUCAUAAAUACCAAGAAAGAAGUGUUAAAGCACAUUCGUUCAACCUUGCCCUCUCCUUCUCCAUAAUCAUGUUGCUGCAUGCAGAAAUGAGCUUUGUAAUGCCACUGGAGCCGUCAGCAAGCUUGCAUGCCAUGAGAUGGUUUCUUCCAAGCCAAGAGAAUGUGCCCACGUGUGCCGAGAGCAAAGAGGAAAUGGAAACAGCAGAGCGAGAAGAAAGAGGAAGGCAAAGCGUUGGCCCCUGAAUUUGUCUGCAGGGAGCUGGAAUAAGAUUAUAUCUGUGCAAUACCGUAAUGCUUGAUGUGCACUCAAGGCUUCAAGCUUGUGUAUGACAUGAAAUUGAAAAAAAAAAAAAAAAAAAGAUGGAAAAAACCUGAGAACAUAGUCUGAUGUGAUCAUCAUGUGACUUAGUGCUAAUAGAAUGAACAGAAUUAGGGUUCAGUUCUCUUCAAGAACCUAGCAAGUCAGGAUAUUAGGAGCACUUAAACUCAGGCUUGAUGAUGUCCACCCAGCUGCCUGCUUUUCAGAAAACCGCUUAGGCUAUUGCCUGUUUGUGACCUCUACCCUCCCACAAAAAAUUGUAUUCAUAUUGACCAGAAGUCUUUCUGGAAGGUCAAACAGUCAAACACACGUACAGAGGAACCUUGCAAUUGCCUGAGCCCUAUUAGGAAGGCAAGCUAAAAGCAAAGGCCUCAUAAUCUGGCAUUGUGUUGGAAGCCCAGACUGUCAGUGCCAGGGGAAUGUUUGAGGUCUGCACAAUUAUUAAUCUGCUGCUAACUCCCAGUGGCACUAGCGUCUGCAAAUCAAGCACAUUUUGUGCCUUACUGCUGUCAUUUAAUGGAAGUUGGUGACAAUUAGCACUUUUUAUCCAGGUGUAUUAUAUGCCUGGAAAACCCUAGAGCAAUUUCUUCAAUUGCUAGGUUAGGAUGCCUGCAGGAAAUCUGAUGUCAGUAAGCAACAAACAAACAUACAGAAAAAUAAAGAAAAAAGAUGCAACUUCUUUUUAUGCAUUAAAAAGCCAGUCUGGGUCCCUAUUAUCGAACAGCAAAUUGAAUUGUUGAAUGUGCUGUCUUAGAGUCUGAAGCAAAAAUUAUUUGAGAAGAUAUUGAAAGGCUCCCCUUUCUGGGACUUAGAGUGGCAUAGAAAAAUCUUUUUUUCUUUUCUUUUUUCUUCAGGUACCCAUUUCUGAUGAUGCCACCUUUUCUUUUGCCCUGUUGUUCUUUGUUACAAAUGUGUAAGUAGAUAAGCAAUCAGACAAGUUUUUGGCAUGGAUUUAUUUGGUUUUGGUUUUUUUUUUUUUCUUUUUUUUGCAUGAAAAUGCAAAUCUGUUACUAGAAGUCCUAUCUUUCUCAGAGUAGUGUUCUGUAUGUGGGAAUUUUUUUGCCUUGGCUUUUUCGUGUGCUCAUAGAGGGAAGAUGUCUGUGUUUGUGUGCACACACAUGCACUUAUGUACAAAUGAUCCUAAAAGGCUGGCACUUCUUUUUCUGUAGUAAAAACAGGAAUAAUCUCUCAAAAUAAUCUUUGCUGUCUUAGAGGAGUUGCUUGAUUAGAUUCACAUGAGCACAUCUGUGAGCAAGGUAUUGAAGUAAUUUAACAAUUGAAGUGCAGCACAACAUUGUUAUUAUUCCAUCUUUGUAUUUCCUUGCACCCAAAAUAAUGGAAGCCCCCUGGGUAUGCACAACCUUAGAUAGGCUUAUUCAUCUCCUUGGGCCCUUGCACAGCCUCUUACACAGCACGAGCCUGUAAUUUUGUAUGCAGAAUUACCAUAGAAACAUUCUUGGCAUCAAGGAGAUAUUUGAAGGAGCAUCCUGUACUGUCUCAUAUGGGGGAUUUGGGUUGCCGGCAGCUGUCAGUGGGCUGCCGAAGAUAGAGCUGGGGAUCUAUGUGACUGGAGGACACUACUCCUAUGCCCGGAUCUCACCCAGCUUUGUUCAGCCUUGGGAAAGCUGUUCAUAGCCAGUAAUGCGCGUUUACCAAAGAACACUAAACUCACCUCAAAAGUAAUCUGUUCUAUCUUAAUAUGCCUCCUAGAAAGGAAGAACAAUCAUGGCUAAGAGGACUAUGCAAAG